CUUGCCCCUAGAGAUGUUGCAGGUGUGGCUGCUGUGUCACAUGUGCAUCAGUAGCCGGCAGAGAGGAGAGGGGCUACAUCUAUGCUCACUGUUCUGACCUGUGAACAUCUAAGUAGUACUCUCUCACU
ensembl:snoRNA